UACGUAGGCAGCAAGCGUUGUUCGGAAUUACUGGGCGUAAAGAGUGUGUAGGCGGUGUUCUAAGUGUGGUGUGAAAUCUCCCGGCUCAACUGGGAGGGUGCGCCGCAGACUGGAAUGCUAGAGUAUGGGAGAGGUAAGCGGAAUUCCUGGUGUAGCGGUGAAAUGCGUAGAUAUCAGGAGGAACACCUGUGGUGUAGACAGCUUACUGGACCAUGACUGACGCUGAGACACGAAAGCGUGGGUAGCAAACAAG
rnacentral:rRNA from 1 species